UACUUUUGAGAUUAAUGAGAAUAGAAUUUUCUAAAUUCAAGAAACUAUUCUCUCUUGAAAGUCACAAGGCUAUAGAGUCCAAAGACUCCCUCUAGCCACCUUCCAAGGCACACUUCCUAUUUUUCACUUUCCAUUUUCCCUUGUGCCUUCUCUCUCACGACGUCACUCCUCCACGUUGCACCACUCGUCAGAAGCCAUAACUCUGCUUCUUGUGUCAGCGUCUCGACCACACAUUUUCAGUCUUCGUCCACGCGUCAGAAACUAUCGCUUCUCAUCUUCAUUUCGCACAUCAGAUUUGCACCACAGAGCCAUAUUUUAUUUCUCUCCCGCGAGCUCAACUUCAUUGUUUCCUCUCUCGAGAGCUCGUCAUCGUCGCCAUCCAUAUUUCCCACACCGUAAACCAUUCUUCUUCCAUUUCUUUGCUUCUUCGCCAUC
rnacentral:lncRNA from 1 species